ACUAUCUCAUAUUUAGAGGUUCUGUGCCACAAUUAUGAUCUACUAUCUCAUAUUUAGAGGUUCUAGGCCACAAUCAUGAUCCACUAUCUCAUAUUUAGAGGUUCUAGGCCACAGUCAUGAUCCACUAUCUCAUAUUUAGAGGUUCUAGGCCACAGUCAUGAUCCACUAUCUCAUAUUUAGAGGUUCUAGGCCACAAUUAUGAUCCACUAUCUCAUAUUUAGAGGUUCUAGGCCACAAUUAUGAUCUACUAUCUCAUAUUUAGAGACAGUCAUGAUCCACUACUGAUAUUUAGAGGUUCUAGGCCACAUGUAUGAUCCACUAUCUCAUAUUUAGAGGUUCUAGGCCACAAUUAUGAUGUACUAUCUCAUAUUUAGAGGUUCUAGGCCACAAUUAUGAUCUACUAUCUCAUAUUUAGAGGUUCUAGGCCACAAUUAUGAUGUACUAUCUCAUAUUUAGAGGUUCUAGGCCACAAUUAUGAUCUACUAUCUCAUAUUUAGAGGCUCUAUGCCAUAAUUAUGAUUUACCAUUACUUUUUGUGGCAGAAAUGGGCUUUCAUAAUUGCAUGACUUCAGAAGAAUUGGAAUAUAAUGUUUGGAUACAGUUUGGAUACAUUUAUGAUGCUUUUUUUGGAAAUCAACAGAUAGAGC